rnacentral:lncRNA from 1 species
UAUAGGUUCAGCUUAAAAUUAAUGGGUUAUCAGGCACUCUUCCCUUAAAACUUUUCCAAAAAUGAAUAUCACAACUACUUUCCCCAGCCCAGCACUUAGCACCCACCCACAGUCCUCUCUCGUCCUAUCAUCCCAGUCUACUCCUUUUUAUUCACCCUCUGUUUGAAACUGGACUGUUUGUUCUUCUCUAAACAAUUUGUGUAUUUAAACCUCCACGCUUUGACUCCCACUAUUCAUUCCACAUUGAAUCUCCUUCUGUCCCUAUCUGGGUAUUUCUAAAUCCUUUCCUAUGUUUUAAUUCCUGUGUUUUAAUACAUCCUUUGAGAAGCCUUCUGAACCUUCACAGAAUUUAUUUUCCUUUAUUCCUUAUGUCCUUCAACAUUUCUGCCUCUAUUUUGCAGAUGUGGCUUCUUUCUGUCUCCACAUUGUAAGCUUCUUGAAGGCAGUGGCUCCACCUUAUUUAUCUAUCACCCAACAACACGUAUUGCCAGAUAAGGCAAUAAAAUGUGCUGAAUAUAUUAUAGAAAGAUAAUUAUGAAUAUGACACAAUAACAAGACACUAUUUUUAAUGAACAAAUAUCUGAUAGAUUUUUUUCCACUUUAAAUGUGUCCAGAAUCAGAAUUCUAUAGCAGAAAGUUAGAGAUCAUGUGGUUCAAUUUCCUUCCUUUGAAGAAAACGAGGUCAGGAGAAGCUGACCACCUUACUAUGGUCACACUGCUCUUCUAUUUAGAAUAAAAACAAAACCAGACCAGCACUUUCCUAACCUUCCAACUCUCUCUCACCAUAAUGAUCUGCCCUUUCUCUUUCCAUAUGGAACAAUGGAAUAAAACAUAUGAAUCAUAGGAACCCAACAAUGAAUGAAACACAUUAUAUCUGUUGACAUAAUAAACUUGCGUAUCAGCUAAACCUAGCAUUUCCCAUUUCUCAAUCCUAAUUAUUCUUUUACCGUGCUAUUUCCUGUCCACCUAUUCGCUUUGGAAAAAAGGAUGCCUAACAACAAGGAGGGUCACUGUGGUAAUGACUGUCUUGAGACAGGCAGAAUUCUGACUGGACUGAGUUCAGCAGCCACCACGCAAGAGGCUGAUUUGCAUGUGGUUCUCUGAUGUGCUUUGGGAGACGACACCUCCUCUCAUCAAGCAUUAUCUGUCUGGCAUGCUUUUAACAGGACUGAAGUAAACAUAUAUAUUGGAGAAAUAUAGGAAAGGUGUGUUCUGAAAAACAAAUAUGUACACAGAGAUGAUGAAGCCAUAACACGAAUGUGUUACAUCCUUAGAGCAUCUUGGCUCAUUCCCGUAUUUGUUCAUAAACAUUUCACAAGCACAUCCUUUGUGCCAGGAACUUGCCAUAUUGUUUUGUAACCAAUGACACAUCUGUCUCCCCUGUUGGACUGUGAGUUCUUGCAGUCUAGUAAAGAGGGCAGGUAAUUCGAUAAAGGGUUAAAAGCCACUGUAAAUGUAGGAUUAGAGGAAUGUAGGCAGACGGUGAUGGGGACGUGGACAUGGGGCUGAUGGAGCACCCAACUGCCCAGCUGUGGGCUGACAGGAUAGUGUGGGUGGUUGAGGGUUGAGCUGGCUUUUGAAGUGUACAGAGAAUUCGCCAGCCAGAUAAGAGCGGAACGCAUCUGAGAGUGAAAAGAUUAUGCAAAGGCUCAGGCGUAUAAAAGAACCAUGUCACAUUCAGGAACUCUGAGGAGUGAGGAGUAGCAAGAGAGCAGUGGGUACUUGGAGCAAAUACGAUUGGAGACAAGGCUGGUGAGGCAGGCGGGAGAAAGCAGGGCUCAGUGUGCCCUGUACUGGAAUCUGCUCUUGCUCUGGGUUGAAGAUAGCAAGUGCAUCUCUGGGCAACUACUGCAGCUGGCUGUGGGGGACUGAUGCAUACUGUUGAGGCUGAUCUUACUCUGUCUCCUCUCUAUAUCUCUAUUAAGAGAAAAAUACAAAGAAUAAAUGAGUAAGGCUCUUGAAACCAUUGAAUUGUACAAACUUUGGUGGUUUUAAAUCUGGAUUUGUGAAUAGCUGAGCCCGUUCACUGUCCCAUUUUGGAGAACCAUGAGGCAUUCUACAAUCUAGCCCUUCUCCAGGUGGAUGCUUACCUGUCCGCCCAACCACAUUUAUCUGAUUCUUCAGGGACCCGCUGACUGAGGCAAUCAUGAUCUGGUACUGCUCCCCGGCCUCCAGUCUGUGGAACGUGUGCUCAAAGACGUGCUUGGGAAUAGUCUGAGAGUCAACCUUUUGACUGUGCCUGAAUGCCGACACCGUGUAGGAAUCAACGUCUCCCCCACCAGGAGUCCAGUUCACCGUCAGGCUAUCUGUUGCUCCAUUGGGAGAAAUGUGAAUAUUUUUGACAGCACUAGGAACUAAAACAGAAAAUAAAUUUAAAAGUCAUCACUUAGAGAAUGAACUGUUGAAAUUUUCAAACAAAGUUUUGAAUGCUUCUGAUGUUUUGGCACCCACUGAGAGAACUCACAUGAAAAAGAAAGUAACAAUUUGCCACUUUUCUCUGAUUUUUCUGUGUGAACUAAAGUUGAUGGGGGAAAGCUUAGGGGGAAGUCAAAGCCGGUGAGUGGAAAUGAGGAAUGCUAAUUAUAUAGCGAGGGGCUAGUUAGGGUGUCUUGGUCCAAGUUUUGGUUUUCUCACUCACUAGCUGUGGGACUACAGGCAAAUUACUUGACCUCUGUAAGUUUUAGUUUCUUCAUUAGGAAAAAUGGCAGUGAUGAUAAUACUAACCAGCCCAUAGAGUUGUGAAGAUUGAUUCUUUUUUAAUUUAAUUUUAUUUUAUUUUUGAGGUAGGGUCUCUGUCUGUUGUCCAGGCUGGAGUGCAAUGGCAUGAUUAUGGCUCACUGCAUCCUAUACCUCCUGGGCUCAAGUGAUUCUCCCACCUCAGCCUCCCCAGUAGCUGGGACUACAGGCACGUAACACCGUGCCCGGCUAAUUUUUUUGUAUUUUUUGUAGAGACAGGGUUUUGUCAUGUUGCCCAGGCUGUGCUUGAACUCCUGGGCUCAAGCUAUCCUCCUGCCUUGGCUUCCAAAGCAUUGUGAAGACUGAACAAGAUGUAGACAUAAAAUGCUUUGCUGUGGGUCUGGUUCAUGGUGAACUGUCAGUACAUGUUAACUACUAUGGCAACACUCCUAAAAGAGUUCUAAAGAAGUGAUACCCAAGUAACACUUAAUUCUUAAUCUGUGUGCCUCAGAAGCACCAGCUGAUCACAUCAGUUCAUUGCUAUUUCUCUGAAAGCACCCUCCAACCCCGCCACUCUCUGCUGACAUCAUACUUUAUUUUCAUUCAUCCAGGUUGGACAACAUCAUUGUCACUAUCAACAUGACUUUGUCCCUUCUUGCUGUCUCCCUUUUAUCCCUCCAAAUGCUCAAUCGAAAUACCUGAACUACCCGAAAGUUAAAUGCACCACUGCAUCUAUUCAGGUUCAAGAACAGUAUUUCACAUUACCUGUGAAGCCCUCAAUGAAGGCUGACUGCUGUACAUCCCCGCUAAUCGUCAAGACAAGAAUUUUGUAUUGGCGGCCUGGUGUUAGGGAAGUAAAUCGAUACUCGGUUGCGGUAUUUACAAGGUGAAAAGGAGGAAAUACUUUCAUGUCAUUGAAGAGCAGCUGGAUCUCAUAUUGGUCGACAUCCCCAUUAGCUCCUGACCAAGUCACAUGCAAGUCCUCAGUGCUCCUGUUGCGCAAUGUUAGAUCCUUAACAGGCUCUGGAACUAGGGAGAAAAAUGAGAAGACAUUUCAGGAAAGGAACUGAUCAGAGUUUACCUACAUAAUAAUUUAUGAAUCACAUUCAAGGAACUGGCAACAUCUCCCUUCCCCAAAUAAACCACUAGCACUACUUCAUGCAUAAUUAAACAAGAAAAAUUGGAAGCAACUAUUAACAUUGUGGUUUUUUCCUGACAUAAAUGUUACAUGAUCAGCAUUGGUAGAACAUAAUUAUAAAAUGAGUUAUGAUCUCAAUCAUAAGAUAAAACAAGAAGUCUAGAAUCUAAAUGCCAUGAUGCAGGAAGAUAGGGAAGAAAAAUGGGACAUUUAGCCUUCUUGCUCCCUCACUAUGUUUGCUUUUAUCUACCAAUAAAUAUUCUGUAAUUAUAGGCCAUGGCUUGGCUGAAUGAUGUUAGCACCAAGUGAGACUUACUGGGAAUGUAAUGUACUAAUGAAUAAGCAGAAAAAAUUCAAGGUUCAGAUAAAUUACUAGAGACUUUCAAGUCCAACCAACUGUCAGAUUUUGCAAUCGUUCCACUUACUUG